UUGCGGAAGGUUGGUUUGCAAACUUCAUCAGAGAGAGACCCACCUGCUGCCCGCGGGGCCCUGUGAGCCAAUGCGUGAGGGCGCGCGGGCUCGAGUCAGCGAAACGCACGGCGCAGCCGCCACCACCAAACCGACAUGUUGGAGCCAGCGCCGCCGCCUCCUUCCCUGCACCCUCCGACCAGGACUGAGAGGGGGCCGCCACUCCUCCGCCUCAGCGCCCGCCGCCCGCCCCGCCUGGGCCGCAGCCUCUUCCGCCCCAGCCCCGGUCCCAGCCCCUGCCCCAGCCCCAGCCCCGCCGCUCGCCGCCUGCCCGCUCUCCAGGCCCAGCCGGUUCCCCAGGCCCGGCGGGUUCCCCCGCCCCGCUCCUCCGCCCCGCUCCACCUCGGGCCCGCAGCGGCCGCCGCGCGAACAUGGACACCACCAGCGCCUUCGCCCGGGAGGAGCUGUGAAUUACAGAGUGUGGUGAAAGCAACCUCAUUAAGACCUUGAUGAAUGCCUUCUCUGUCCACAUUUUGCUUUGCUCACAUCAUACUUGGCUAGUUGUGAGUGAAAAUCAGGUGUAAGACAGUUAUCAGCUGAGCAAUUGACAAUGCAACGGCAGGUGAGUAAAGAAUUCUUUAACUGAUAAUUGUACCUCUGUGCCAUCAGAUGGUCAUGUUUCUCCUAUUGGUGUGGAUAUUCCAAUGCAUCCAGGAUUUAUCAAAGAUCUCAGCUUCACUUAAAUUCCUACAGUACUCUUCAAUAAGUAUGAUAAAUUAGGGACUCAUCUAUAAGUAAUCUCCUUUCAAAAAUUACAACAGUUUGUCCUAGCCUCCAUUAAGUCUGUGUAUUCUCUAAAGUCAUGAGAGAUGUUUAAUUUUCUCACCCAACCCAUGGCAUCAUUGGAGAAAUAAUGCACUCAUGGAUCAUGUUAGUGCUUGAAAUUGGCUUAAGCAUGCAGUGAACAGAUGGCAUAGAGGAGAGUAAGAAUAGAAGUUUAAAGUCAGUAGCAAGACUGAGAUUUUAGCAGGUGCAUUCAGUCAGUCCACUGUUACAGGUCCUGGAGUAUUGAGUUCUACAUUGUUGCCAGAAGGAAAUAAGAAAUCAUUUACUUUCCUCACUUUUAAUUUUCUUAAUAUGUUGUUGGAGUAUAUUUUUACAUUGUGAAGUAAUCAAAAGAAAACUAAAAUAUUCCUUACAGUUGUUCCCUACAGCCCAAUUUCAAAGUUUGUAGAUCAACUU
rnacentral:lncRNA from 1 species